GAUGAACGCUAGCGGCAGGCUUAACACAUGCAAGUCGAGGGGUAUAGUUCUUCGGAAUUAGAGACCGGCGCACGGGUGCGUAACGCGUAUGCAAUCUACCUUUCACAAAGGGAUAGCCCCAGAGAAAUUUGGAUUAAUACCUUAUAGUAAUACGACUUGGCAUCAAGAUGUAUUUAAAGAUUUAUCGGUGAAAGAUGAGCAUGCGUCCCAUUAGCUUGUUAGGUAAGGUAACGGCUUACCAAGGCAACGAUGGGUAGGGUCCUGAGA
rnacentral:rRNA from 1 species